rnacentral:rRNA from 1 species
AGAGUUUGAUCCUGGCUCAAACGAACGCUGGCGGCGUGGAUAAGACAUGCAAGUCGAACGGGUUUCUCUGAGUAGCAAUACUUGGAGGAGCUAGUGGCGCAAGGGUGCGUAACACGUGGGCAACCUGCCCUGGGGAACGGGAUAGCCCGCCGAAAGGCGGAUUAAUACCGUAUGUGGCUACUGAGUGCAUACUCGGGACGCUAAAGAUGGCGCAAGCUAUCGCUCCGGGAUGGGCCCGCGGCCUAUCAGCUAGUUGGUGGGGUAACGGCUCACCAAGGCGAUGACGGGUAGCUGGUCUGAGAGGACGACCAGCCACACUGGAACUGAGACACGGUCCAGACACCUACGGGUGGCAGCAGUCGAGAAUUUUUCUCAAUGGGGGCAACCCUAAGGAGCGACGCCGCGUGGAGGAUGAAGGUUUUCGGAUUGUAAACUCCUGUCAUUGGUGAACAAGAGUCCCCGUUAACUGCGGGAGGCUUUGCUAUAGCCGAAGAGGAAGGGACGGCUAACUCUGUGCCAGCAGCCGCGGUAAUACAGAGGUCCCGAGCGUUGUUCGGAUUCAUUGGGCGUAAAGGGUGCGUAGCGCGGGGUAAGUCUGAUGUGAAAUCCCGGGGCUCAACCCCGGAACUGCAUUGGAUACUGCCUUGCUAAGUACUGGAGAGGAAACUUGGAAUUUACGUUGUACAUAAAUGCUAAAGAUCCGUAAGAAAACCAUGCCAAAGCCAAUUUUCUUGAACAUAACUUACCCUUAAGCNCAAAAGCCACAGGGAAAACACAACCGGGAUUAAAUACCCCCCGGUUAGUCCUGGCAGUAAAACGGUGCACGUUUUGGUGUGGGAGGAAUCGACCCCUUCCGUGCCGGAGCUAACGCGUUAAACGUGCCGCCUGGGGAGUACGGUCGCAAGAUUAAAACUCAAAGAAAUUGACGGGGGCCCGCACAAGCGGUGGAGUAUGUGGCUUAAUUCGAUGCAACGCGAAGAACCUUACCUAGGCUUGACAUGCAUCUCUAAGUGUGUGAAAGCACGCGAGUCCCGCAAGGGACAAUUUGCACAGGUGCUGCAUGGCUGUCGUCAGCUCGUGUCGUGAGAUGUUGGGUUAAGUCCCGCAACGAGCGCAACCCCUGUGAUCUGUUGCUAACCAGCUUGUCUGGAGCACUCUGAUCAGACUGCCCUGUGAAACGGGGAGGAAGGUGGGGAUGACGUCAAGUCAGCAUGGCCCUUACGCCUAGGGCUGCACACGUACUACAAUGCCCAGUACAGAAAGAACCGAGACCGCGAGGUGGAGGAAAUCACCAAAACUGGGCUCAAUUCGGAUCGCAGGCUGCAACUCGCCUGCGUGAAGCCGGAAUCGCUAGUAAUGGCGCAUCAGCUACGGCGCCGUGAAUACGUUCCCGGGCCUUGUACACACCGCCCGUCACAUCAUGGGAGUCACUUGUACCCGAAGUCUGGCCUUUGGGUCACCUAAGGUAUGAGUGGUAACUGGGAUGAAGUCGUAACAAGGUAGCCGUAGGGGAACCUGCGGCUGGAUCACCUCCUU